AUGAUGGAGAGUUUGAUCCUGGCUCAGAACGAACGCUGGCGGCGCGUCUUAACCAUGCAAGUCGAGCGGCAGGCAGCAAUGCCGAGAGCGGCGGACUGGUGAGUAACACGUGGAUAACGUACCCCGAUGUCCGGGACAGCCUGUAGAAAUAGAGGGUAAUACCGGAUAGAUCACUGUUUACGUGAGGUAGACAGCGGGAAAGGAGCUUCGGCUCCGCGACGGGAUCGGUCUGCGGCCCAUCAGCUGGACGGCGGGGUAAAGGCCCGCCGUGGCGAGGACG
rnacentral:ncRNA from 1 species